rnacentral:rRNA from 1 species
AGCAGCCGCGGUAAUUCCAGCUCCAAUAGCGUAUAUUAAAGUUGUUGCAGUUAAAAAGCUCGUAGUUGAAUUUCGGAAUCAGUACGCUGGUCGUGCCUUCGGUAUGUACUGGUGUCACUGAUUCCUCCCUUCUGACGAACCGUCAUGCUAUUAAUUUAGUGUGGCGGGGAAUCAGGACUGUUACUUUGAAAAAAUUAGAGUGUUUAAAGCAGGCUCACGCUUGAAUACAUUAGCAUGGAAUAAUGAAAUAGGACGUUGAUCUUAUUUUGUUGGUUUCUAGGAUUGAUGUAAUGAUUAAUAGGGAUAGUUGGGGGCAUUAGUAUUCAAUUGUCAGAGGUGAAAUUCUUGGAUUUAUUGAAGACUAACUACUGCGAAAGCAUUUGCCAAGGAUGUUUUCAUUAAUCAAGAACGAAAGUUAGGGGAUCGAAGACGAUCAGAUACCGUCGUAGUCUUAACCAUAAACUAUGCCGACUAGGGAUCGGAUGAUGUUAUUUUUAAUGACUCA